rnacentral:sRNA from 1 species
GCACGUCACCGCCGAAUGGCAGCCUCCAGAAAGCCGCCGCGAGUAAGGGCAAAUCACCAGGAUUUUCAGCUGAGAAAUUUAAGAAUAAUUGAACCUAACGAGGUGACACACUCAGGAGACACAGGUGUGGAAACAGAGUGAGUAUAUUGCUCCAUGUGACUGUCGGCGGGCUUUUGUCUCUGGAUUCGAUGGCUCUGCGGGCACAGCCAUCAUCACAGAAGAGCAUGCAGCCAUGUGGACUGACGGGCGCUACUUUCUCCAGGCUGCCAAGCAAAUGGACAGCAAUUGGACACUUAUGAAGAUGGGUCUGAAGGACACACCAACUCAGGAAGACUGGCUGGUGAGUGUGCUUCCUGAAGGAUCCAGGGUUGGUGUGGACCCCUUGAUCAUUCCUACAGAUUAUUGGAAGAAAAUGGCCAAAGUUCUGAGAAGUGCCGGCCACCACCUCAUUCCUGUCAAGGAGAACCUCGUUGACAAAAUCUGGACAGACCGUCCUGAGCGCCCUUGCAAGCCUCUCCUUACACUGGGCCUGGAUUACACAGGCAUCUCCUGGAAGGACAAGGUUGCAGAUCUUCGGUUGAAAAUGGCUGAGAGGAACGUCAUGUGGUUUGUGGUCACUGCCUUGGAUGAGAUUGCGUGGCUAUUUAAUCUCCGAGGAUCAGAUGUGGAGCACAAUCCAGUAUUUUUUUCCUACGCAAUCAUAGGACUAGAGACGAUCAUGCUCUUCAUUGAUGGUGACCGCAUAGACGCCCCCAGUGUGAAGGAGCACC